GCUGCGGUAGCCCAGUUGGUAGAGGCGUUAGCAGUACAGAUGCCGAAAGGCGCAGGAUCAAAUCCUGCCCCCAGAG